rnacentral:snRNA from 1 species
GGAUGUGGGGGCGAUCUGGCUGCGACAUCUGUCACCCCAUUGAUCGCCAGGGUUGAUUCGCCUGAUCUGGCUGGCUAGGCGGGUGUCCCCUUCCUCCCUCACCGCUCCAUAUGCGUCCCUCCCGAAGCUGCGUGCUCGGUCGAAGAGGACAACCUUCCCUGAUAGAGGAGGCCCGUUCUUGUU